GUAACGACCCAGCCCACUAGCAACAAUAACUCGUUGGGCCCAACCGCCGGCCCAAAAUGCUUAAGCCCAGUUAUUAUUACUAGUGUCUAAGUCUCUUAUAAACCCAAGGACAACCCCAUUCCCAUCCGAUGUGGGAUUAUUGGGGUGUCACAGACUCCCCCCGUUAAGACCCUGACGUCCUCGUCAGUCCAAUCACACACACAGCCUAAGAUCACCAGGUGAUGUGAGACUCAUCUCGCUAGCCCGUCAUCCAGACCCUGGCUCAGCCGAGACUCGCCACACAUGUCCAGCUGGUGAACCGGCUCUGAUACCAAAUGUAACGACCCAGCCCACUAGAAACAAUAACUCGUUGAACCCAACAACCGGCCCAAAAAGCUUAAGCCCAGUUAUUAUUACUAGUGUCUAAGUCUCUUAUAAACCCAAUGACAACCCCAUUCCCAUCCGAUGUGGGACUAUUGGGGUGUCACAGACUCCCCCCGUUAAGGCCCUGACGUCCUCGUCAGUCCAAUCACACACACAGCCCAAGAUCACCAGGCGAUGUGAGACUCGUCUCGCUAGCCCGUCAUCCAGACCCUGGCUCAGCCGAGACUCGCCACACAUGUCCAGCUGGUGAACCGGCUCUGAUACCAAAUGUAACGACCCAGCCCACUAGCAACAAUAACUCGUUGGGCCCAACCGCCGGCCCAAAAUGCUUAAGCCCAGUUAUUAUUACUAGUGUCUAAGUCUCUUAUAAACCCAAGGACAACCCCAUUCCUAUCCGAUGUGGGAUUAUUGGGGUGUCAC
rnacentral:lncRNA from 1 species